AAGCUUGUGGACAAAUCGUGGUUGCACUCACGUGCUGUGUCACUGCAGUACCUCCUGCUGCCUUUUGAUUAUGGCAGAAACAUGUGACCUUCAGCGACGGAGCUUCUCCAGCGUUGUCUAACAGAGCAUCGAACUCCUUUCUGGAGCUGCUGGAAGAGAUGCAAAUGUUUCCAGAGGGGAGUCGGACUACGGAUUUCUUCUCGACAUGAUCAGCUGCUGUAAAACCACUGAAUGUAUUAGUCUAUAGCGUCAGAUACCUUCAGGAGAAGAGGCUGCUGCGCAGCAGAGGAGCACGUUGUCUCCUCGGGGGCGCCCGGAAAGCUUGUGCCUGCCGACUCUCUCUCUCCCAUCAUGCAGACGAUCGGGACAAGCACUGGAGUGGUCCUUCUCGAGAUUACCAUCGGGUCGGUCUGUCUGUUAAAAGGUUUCUCUGGACUCCAGCUGUACAGCCACCCUGCCAGGCCCAGUGCAGCAAGAACACCACAGCAAGUCUGCAGAGAGGCUUGUUCUCUUCCAUCCUCAGCAGAGUUGCGUUUCCACGACGCCUGUGAAACACGAGCCCUCCUCUGAAGAGCCGAGAAGGAUCGCUGAUGGAGCGGGCUGUGCCUUUCCAAGCAGACCUCUUCCGUCUUCGCCUUUGCCCUCUUGCUGUCUCCAGAGCUGUGUGCAUGGAGGGAGAGAAGGAGACUCUGAGCAGUUUGGGGUUAGAGAGAUGCCCAGCGGUGGCCCUUCAGUCCAUCGCUGAGCUCCAUCGUCGUGGUGCAGCGUCCAUCGCAGGAGGCAGGGCUGGAGACCCGGGAGCAGCAGCGUGGCUCUGAAGCACGUCCCAGGAGACCAGGGCUGAAGUGAGACACGUCUUCAGUGCAGCACGGUGCUGACGCUGAGCUGGAGAGGAAGACUGUUUGGAGUGGUGGCUAUGGAGAGAGUUGUGAAGAGCUGUCAAACACAGGAGCAGAGAGAGAGAGAAGCCGAUGGCAGGAGCCUAUUUUGGGGCCGAGCCGGUGGAGAGCUGUGUGAACCGCCGGCAGUUGCUGCCGUCUUCAGGGACGGGCACCGUGUCACAGGAGAAACUAAGGCCUGUGCCAGACGAGGCGCUGGUGUUCCUGAUCUAUUUUACAGAAGUAUAAAUGAAAUGUUUCCCAGGAAGGCUGCACGCUGCCAUCACACUGCUGCUGCUUUGGGAAGUUGCUUCCAAACGAGGACAGGGUGAAGGCUGGAGAAGAGCAGCUCUGCCAGGAGCGCCCUGGAGGAGCCUUCCCUGAGCACCAUGGUCCGGUCCAGCAGCCCGAGAAAAAGGCAGAGAGGCAGCAGGACGACUGCGCUCGCCUCCCUCCCUCUGGCCUGUGCCCGCCGGGCUCUUGGCCCCCUCGGUGACCCAGCUGGGAGCUCAGCGCGGGCUCCUCCAGGCCCAGCUCCUUCCAGCCACCCUGGGCACUGACAGGGCCGUAAAUCAAUCACUGUCACAACUUGCACAUUCCUGUCAGCCUUUAUUAUUGCAAACACAUGGAGCAAUUAGUUUAUUAACAGUGUAAACAUGUGGAAUAAACCUUGAGUCUUGCACAAGCACUGAAUAAACACUGGAACCGGCA